UUCAAUUAAACAUGAAUUCUGCGGAUCGAAGAUCCAUGGGGUCAGUGCUCGGGCCUGUUUCUACAACUCCGAGUCGCUUUGAUUGGCUAAAUUCUAUUAUUUAUUUACGGUCAGGCUUCACUGUGGGGCUUGAGAAAGCCGGAAGACCUCCAUGGCUUCGAACAGACCGGUGAUUAUCGCGUUGAUCUCGCUGACAGGUGAAUGAAUUUCUGCGACGAAACUCUAUAAACGUGGCGAGAUGAGGGAAAACUAUCUAACGGCUCUUCUUCCGCGAAUAAUUAUGUUAAGUGAAACGAUGUAUUCGAAGGGGAUGUCUGUGCAGAUAUGUGCAGUGAAAUGCGUUAAUCGCCGUGGGAAAUUGAGGUUAGGAGACGUGCGUUGUGGGCAGUAGUAAAAUGUUUGAAACUUGGAUAUUUCGUAACAAAGGAUAUUGCAGAAAAUAGAUAAAUUCUUCAUUGAAGUAUGCAAAUUUUCAGGAAUCUCCUAUCGAACGUUGAGAAACAAGAAGGUUAUGCACUAACAUAUAUUUGAUCCUGUAUGCAACAUGAAUUGCGAUGAGUUAAUUUGUUUCUAAUUAUGGAGCGGUACUUGCAAAUUGGAUUAAUAUUCAUAUCAACGGCAGCACGUAUGCGGCUGUCCAUGUUAGCACACCAAUUAUUAUAAUGUGACACGAUGUCUGGACGGUUAUUGACUCUGUGACUGUCGUAGGAUGAUGUUCACAUGGCCAUAAUGAAUGCUGCCACUUAUAAGUAGGCAACUUGUGAAUGAAGUGACAGAGCAUCGUAGCAGUAUAAUGCAGUGUAUAGUUAAUUAAACAGUUAAAUGUGGUAAAAUGUUAGGUAUGAUGAGAAGUUAGAAAUAGUAGAAAAUUACAUAUAAUAAAAAGUGACACAUAGUAUAAAAUUGUACAAUGUUCAAUUUUAUUCUAUUUUUCACUUUUUAC